AGCGAACGCUGGCGGCAGGCUUAACACAUGCAAGUCGAACGGGCAUAGCAAUAUGUCAGUGGCAGACGGGUGAGUAACGCGUGGGAACGUACCUUUUGGUUCGGAACAACACAGGGAAACUUGUGCUAAUACCGGAUAAGCCCUUACGGGGAAAGAUUUAUCGCCGAAAGAUCGGCCCGCGUCUGAUUAGCUAGUUGGUAGGGUAAUGGCCUACCAAGGCGACGAUCAGUAGCUGGUCUGAGAGGAUAAUCAGCCACAUUGGGACUGAGACACGGCCCAAACUCCUACGGGAGGCAGCAGUGGGGAAUAUUGGACAAUGGGCGAAAGCCUGAUCCAGCCAUGCCGCGUGAGUGAUGAAGGCCCUAGGGUUGUAAAGCUCUUUUGUGCGGGAAGAUAAUGACGGUACCGCAAGAAUAAGCCCCGGCUAACUUCGUG
rnacentral:rRNA from 1 species